AGAGUUUGAUCACGGCUCAGAUUGAACGCUGGCGGUAGGCUUAACACAUGCAAGUCGAGCGGUAACAGAGAAUAGCUUGCUAUUCUGCUGACGAGCGGCGGACGGGUGAGUAACGCGUAGGAAACUGCCUGGUAGUGGGGGAUAGCCCAGAGAAAUUUGGAUUAAUACCGCAUACGCCCUACGGGGGAAAAGGGGCUUCGGCUCUUGCUAUCAGAUAUGUGCCUGCGUAAGAUUAGCUAGUUGGUGAGGUAAUGGCUCACCAAGGCGACGAUCUUUAGCUGGUCUGAGAGGAUGAUCAGCCACACUGGAACUGAGACACGGUCCAGACUCCUACGGGAGGCAGCAGUGGGGAAUAUUGCACAAUGGACGAAAGCCUGAUGCAGCCAUACCGCGUGUGUGAAGAAGGCUUUCGGGUUGUAAAGCACUUUCAGCGAGGAGGAAGGAGUUGUAGUUAAGAGCUAGCUUAAUUGACGUUACUUGCAGAAUAAGCACCGGCUAACUCUGUGCCAGCAGCCGCGGUAAUACGGAGGGUGCGAGCGUUAAUCGGAAUUACUGGGCGUAAAGCGCGCGUAGGCGGCCUGAUAAGUUGGAUGUGAAAGCCCUGGGCUCAACCUAGGAACUGCAUUCAAAACUGUCAGGCUAGAGUAUGGUAGAGGAUAGUGGAAUUUCCGGUGUAGCGGUGAAAUGCGUAGAGAUCGGAAGGAACAUCAGUGGCGAAGGCGGCUAUCUGGACGAGUAUUGACGCUGAGGCACGAAAGCGUGGGGAGCAAACAGGAUUAGAUCCCCUGGUAGUCCACGCCGUAAACGAUGUCAACUAGCCGUUGGGAGCAAUGUGCCCGGGAGGGGCGCAGCGAACGCGAGAAGGUGACCGCCUGGGGAGUACGGCCGCAAGGUUAAAACUCAAAUGAAUUGACGGGGGCCCGCACAAGCGGUGGAGCAUGUGGUUUAAUUCGAUGCAACGCGAAGAACCUUACCAGGUAUUGACAUCCCGAGAAUUUACUAGAGAUAGUUUAGUGCCUUCGGGAACAGUGACAGGUGCUGCAUGGCUGUCGUCAGCUCGUGUCGUGAGAUGUUGGGUUAAGUACCGUAACGAGCGCAACCCUUGUCCUUAGUUGCCAGCCUUAAGUUGGGCACACUCUAAAUAGACUGCCGGUGACAAACCGGAGGAAGGUGGGGAUGAUGUCAAGUCAUCAUGGCCCUUAUGGGUAGGGCUACACACGUGCUACAAUGGGCAGUACAGAGAGCGUUGAAACCGUGAGGUGGAACAAAUCUCCUAAAGCUGUUCGUAGUCCGGAUUGGAGUCUGCAACUCGACUCCAUGAAGUCGGAAUCGCUAGUAAUCGCAAAUCAGCAUGUUGCGGUGAAUACGUUCCCGGGCCUUGUGCACACCGCCCGUCACACCAUGGGAGUGGGUUGUACCAGAAGUAGGUAGUCUAACCGCAAGGAGGACGCUUACCACGGUAUGGUUCAUGACUGGGGUGAAGUCGGAACAAGGUAA
rnacentral:rRNA from 1 species